GAUUCACAAACAUAGCAUGAGUCCAAGGAGAAAGGUAAGAAGGUGCUUUAUUCCAUAACACAAAUUGUGUGUUCAACUCUUACAAGUUUUCGAACUCGUUUUAGGAUUAGUUGCCAACAAGAAAGUGCAUCAAAAACCAUCUUAGGAACAAGAUGUUAUUAUAUAGUGUAUCCAUGUAAAAAUAAACACAGCACUUGGUAGAUUUCAGAGAGUAUUAUCAGGCAUCACCAGCUCUCAAACCUUCAGCCAAAGCACGUGCUCUGUUCUGGGUUUGUCUUUCUACAGCAACCACCUACAAUAAAUUCAUAAGAAAAAAGCUUUAAAGAAAACGGAUCGAAAGGUCCAAGAAGAUACAUUACCAACUGCACUUCCGAGUGCACAGCCCCAGAGAAUCCUCAUUGACCACUUAUCCCUCUCGACACCAUCAUACUUUGCUCUGCAAUAAACCCCCUUCAAAGCUAUAGUUUACCAGCAAAAAGACUCAAACUAAAAUUCAAAAAAAUUACUCGAAAUGUAGAUCUAUAAACUAUUUGGGGAAAAAGUAGAUGAGAACAACAAUAGGAGUGUGAGAUUACCAGAAUUCAAAUGAAACAAGAGGGGCUACUUUGUCAAUACUAAACAUAAAUGUGCUUAUUUGGAUAAAUAACAAAACUACGGAGGAUUGCUCCAUAAUUAAUAAAAACAUAAAGGACUAGACUACAUCCUCACAUGUAAUGAUACUUUUUUCUUUUGACCGAAUGUUUUACUUUAUCGUUUUCACAAAAUUAUGAAAUUCAAAUUAUUAUUCAUUUCUGCAAUUCUACUCUAUGAAAACUCGUAAGUAUCUUUUAUCAGUGUAUCGAUUUAAUAUACAUAUCUGCUGUAUUAACUAGGAAGGUC
rnacentral:lncRNA from 1 species